CUAAGCAUCCCAAAUCGAUCUAAAUUUCAGUUGUUCCCUUCCCAUUCAUUAUUGCUUUUUCUCAAGUAGUCAAAUCACAACUUUAUGAUGUUCACUUGUACUGCAUUUUCUUUUUAAAAUCCUUUUGAACCGUCAUUUUUAUUCUUACUUCCAUUACAACCUUUUUGCUUUCCCUUUCAAGAAACAAAUCCUUUCUUUUUUAAAGCUUUUCAAGAACUCAUCAAUAGCACCAAAAAGAAAACCUACUCGUUCUUCUACAAAAUAUGAAAAAGGCGAGUCUUCGAAGACUCUAGGGCUUGAAACUCCUAACCCAUCAAUUCCCUCACCUCUUGCUUAUUAAGAUAUUUUGAAAACUUGAAAUCACACAGUGGUUGGUAGAUGGAUUGACACAUUCAAGCAUCGAUCAUUAUCCUUUGUUGAUGUUCUUGACUACAAUUUCUUUCUAUCGAAGAUUUUGACGUUGUUUCAUCAUUUAUUCAAACAACUCCAAGGAAAUUGUUGGAUCCAGAUGGGUUUCCGACCUUAAGGAGUUUUGUCAAGGGCAAAGAUAUUGUAAUCUCUAAAAUCCUAAUCAAUGAUUUGUUCAAAUUCUCACAUAAUAUGGAAGAUUCCACCCCCAAUUUCGUAGCUUUUCAAAACGCCAAAGAGGAAGUGAAUUAUUCUGGUCCUCAGUCUCUAUAUAACAAUCUCCUCCCUCUCAUUAGCAUUUUCAAAGUUAAUGGUAAGUAUGAGUUGUACUCAAAUUUAUCAGUUUCUGAAAAGAAGGAUGUUCAAAAGAUCCAUGGGUAGAAAAUCAACCGUCUUGAACCACAAAUCAAAGACCACACUACCCAUUCUCACCUUGAGUUCCUUGACUCUGAGGUUAGUGAAAUCAAAUUAUCCCUCCUUGAACUUCACGAAAAAGUAUCCACUCUUACUUGUAUGCUAGAUACUUUCAUAAAAGAGAUGAAGGGGAUGGUUGUUGAGGAAGUGGUUGAAGAAGAAGACGUGGAGGAGGAAAAGGCUGAUGAAAAGAAGGAGGAAGUGACUAAAGAGGAGGCAGAGCAGGUAGAGGAAGAGGUAGAAGAAGAAGAGGAGUAGGAGGAGAAGAAAGAAGAGGAGGUUGUUGUUCCUGCACCACCAACACUGGUUGAAACUACACCUUUCCUUUAAAUUUGAUAUCUUUGCAUGAGUUAUGGUUGGUUGCUUGGUUGCUUGUUGUUUUGAUAAAAUUUGAUUGAUAUUAGAACCGUUGCAUGUAUUGUUAUUGGUAGAUACGUAUCAAAUAAUAUAGAUAUAUUAUAAAAACUGUUCUGUUUUGAGACAGAUUUCAAAAUAUUGAAAAGUUCCUAAUGAACUUACAUGGUUUAUAUUUUGUUUAAAUGUUUGUUCUUAUCAUGUUUUUAAAAUCAUUUUCACAUAGUAAUAUGAUUUCGAAAAAUAUGGUUUUAAUUUUUCAUCAAGGGGGAGAUUAAAGACUCAACUCCUUUAAGUGAUGAUGAUAUUCAAAAUGCAUAUUAAAUAAAACAAAUAAAUUAAUUUAUUAUAUUUAGUUGUUUAAU